AGAGAAUGUUUAUGCCCCAAGUCUUUUGAGUGUAAUUCUUUCUGGAAAUCAACUUUUAGCUCUUUGGAAGAGGUUCAUUAUUUUCCUUGAAGAAUACCUAGGCUUCUAAUUAUCACUCAAGGAAAAUAUGCAGAGAGCCCAUGUCUCUAUUUAAGAUGGUAUGGAGUUAGUAGUGUACUUCCAAGCAAGCCCCCACAUUUGAAGACGGCAAAUUUUCAGUUUCAUAAAAUGUAAAAGUAGAAAAUGAGCCUACCCAGAAAAGACAGGGUAGCAUUAACUUUAUCCCGCAUGUGGAUUUCUUUUUCAGAGUUUGGAUUACUCCCUGGCAUUGUAUCUCGGUGUCCCAGCAGUAGGAAGGCAGAAAUGGGUGAAUUUCCUUGGAUGAUGUCCAUACAACUGUCUUUCUCCCAUCUUUGUGCUGGCUCAAUACUGAACGAACAGUGGAUCCUUACAUCUGCGAGAUGUGCCAAUUUCAUGUCUUCAGGAUUCUUGUCUCAUAAAAUUCAGUGUCUUCAUCUCUAAAAUAACAAGUAAUGAAGAAAGUAAUGAAGAAAGAAUUGAGGAAAAUCUGGAAUUUUGCACAAAAGACACAUGAGCAUCCUGCAAGCCAGCACUUGUGCACAAUUCACUUUGUGUGUGGAAGCCAAGAGCGCUACUGGGGAGGCUGGCUGUCAGGGUGAUCGAGGGGCACCUCUGGUGUGCCGUCUCCAACAGAAGAACACCUGGGUGCCGUUGGGAAUAUUGAGUCACUUUGAUGAACAUUGCAAAAGGCCCUAUGUUUUCAGUCGAGUGAGCCCUUUCAUUGCCUGGAUCCAGGGAGUAACAAGGCACAGCCGUGCACCCUGGUCUCUUCAAGGGCCCAGGACUACCUCUGCU